rnacentral:rRNA from 1 species
UUACACAUGCAAGUCGAGCGGUAGCACAGGGGAGCUUGCUCCCYGGGUGACGAGCGGCGGACGGGUGAGUAAUGUCUGGGAAACUGCCUGAUGGAGGGGGAUAACUACUGGAAACGGUAGCUAAUACCGCAUAACGUCGCAAGACCAAAGAGGGGGACCUUCGGGCCUCUUGCCAUCAGAUGUGCCCAGAUGGGAUUAGCUAGUAGGUGGGGUAAUGGCUCACCUAGGCGACGAUCCCUAGCUGGUCUGAGAGGAUGACCAGCCACACUGGAACUGAGACACGGUCCAGACUCCUACGGGAGGCAGCAGUGGGGAAUAUUGCACAAUGGGCGCAAGCCUGAUGCAGCCAUGCCGCGUGUGUGAAGAAGGCCUUCGGGUUGUAAAGCACUUUCAGCGAGGAGGAAGGUGGUGARCUUAAUACGUUCAUCAAUUGACGUUACUCGCAGAAGAAGCACCGGCUAACUCCGUGCCAGCAGCCGCGGUAAUACGGAGGGUGCAAGCGUUAAUCGGAAUUACUGGGCGUAAAGCGCACGCAGGCGGUUUGUUAAGUCAGAUGUGAAAUCCCCGGGCUCAACCUGGGAACUGCAUUUGARACUGGCAAGCUAGAGUCUCGUAGAGGGGGGGUAGAAUUCCAGGUGUAGCGGUGAAAUGCGUAGAGAUCUGGAGGAAUACCGGUGGCGAAAGCGGCCCCCUGKACGAASACUGACGCUCAGUGCGAAAGCGUGGGGAGCRAACAGGAKUAGAUACCCYGGUAGUSCACGCUGUAACGAUGUCGAUUUGAGGUUGUGCCCUUGAGGCGUGGCUUCCGSAGCUAACGCGUUAAUCGACCGYCUGGGGAGURCGGYCGKCRAGGUKARARSUCAAAUGAAUUGAYGGAGGCCCGCACAGCCGGYGGAGSAKGUGGUUUAGUUCGWUGYAUCGCGAGAAGCGUGACCUACUCUUGACAUCCGMGACCUUCAGAGAUGAUGUGCUYSGUARCUCUAUACAGUACUGCAUG